rnacentral:tRNA from 1 species
AAUGGAGUGCCUGAUUAAAGGAUUAUCUUGAUAGGGUAAAGCAAGUAAAUUAUAUUUACCUUCAUUA